AAGUCGUAACAAGGUCUCCGUAGGUGAACCUGCGGAGGGAUCAUUAACACGUUCUUAUACAACGUUUCCAACCAAACCGUGAACUUCUGAAAUUAUAUAAACCCCGACCUGGGAGUUGAGAGAAUCCUGUUUGAACUGUGCUCAGUGUAAUGGGCAUAUUAAGCUUCACGGUUUAAUAUGCGAGUGCAUUCAGACUAGAAAGUUUCGAGCUUUCAAGGCCUCUCUUCUUUCGGGCUAAUUUUCACCAUUACUUCCCCUUCAUUCACUGGAGGUAAUGGCAACCACAACCCCUUUCACCCCUUUAUAACCACUUGACUGAUACUGUUUUUAUUCUUCAUUCUUCAUUGAAUGAGGGUGGAAACAAAAUAUUUUAAUCAAAAUAUCUAAGCACAACUCUUAGCAACGGAUAUCUUGGUUCUC
rnacentral:misc_RNA from 1 species